UGCAACUCGACUCCAUGAAGCUGGAUUCGCUAGUAAUCGCGCAUCAGCCAUGGCGCGGUGAAUACGUUCCCGGGCCUUGUACACACCGCCCGUCAAGCCAUGGGAGCCGGGGGUGCCUGAAGUACGUGACCGCGAGGAGCGUCCUAGGGCAAAAACUGGUGACUGGGGCUAAGUCGUAACAAGGUAAC
rnacentral:rRNA from 1 species